AAGCAGGACUUAAUUUUGAAUGUCCAAUACUUAUAUAAAGUCUUACAAAUCUCAAAGAUAUAGACAAGUAUCGUUACAAAUCUCAGUAACAGAGAAUAUCUUAAUAUAUAAUAUAAUAGUCGUUUAGAAUAAAAUAAGAAAAAUACAAUAUCUUACAGGAUAAGAAUAUGACUCGUUUUCAAUGAAAGCAGGACUUAAUUUUGAAUGUCCAAUAAUUAUAUGAGUCUUACAAAUCUCAAAGGUAUAGACAAGUGUCUUAACAAAUCUCAGUAACAGACAAUGUCUUAAUACAUAAUAAUAUAACAGUCGUUUAGAAUAAAAUAAGAAAAAUACAAUAUCUUACAGGAUAAGAAUAUGACUCGUUUUCAAUGAAAGUAGGACUUAAUUUUGAAUGUCCAAUACUUAUAUAAAAGUCUUAAAAAUCUCAAAGGUAUAGGUAUCGUAAGGAAUCUCAGUAACAGAGAAUAUCUUAAAGCAUAAUACUAUAAUAGUCGUUUUCAAUAAAAGCAGGACUUAAUUUUGAAUGUCCAAUACUUAUAUAAGUCUUACAAAUCUCAAAGGCAUAGACAAGUGUCUUAACAAAUCUCAGUAACAGACAAUAUCUUAAAGCAUAAUAAUAUAAUAGUCGUUUUCAAUAAAAGUAGGACUUAAUUUUGAAUGUCCAAUACUUAUAUAAGUCUUACAAAUCUCAAAGGUAUAGACAAGUGUCUUAACAAAUCUCAGUAACAGACAAUAUCUUAAUACAUAAUAAUACAACAGUCGCUUAGAAUAAAAUAAGAAAAAUACAAUAUCUUACAGGAUAAGAAUAUGACUCGUUUUCAAUGAAAGCAGGACUUAAUUUUGAAUGUCCAAUACUUAUAUAAAGUCUUACAAAUCUCAAAGAUAUAGACAAGUAUCGUUACAAAUCUCAGUAACAGAGAAUAUCUUAAUAUAUAAUAUAAUAGUCGUUUAGAAUAAAAUAAGAAAAAUACAAUAUCUUACAGGAUAAGAAUAUGACUCGUUUUCAAUGAAAGCAGGACUUAAUUUUGAAUGUCCAAUAAUUAUAUGAGUCUUACAAAUCUCAAAGGUAUAGACAAGUGUCUUAACAAAUCUCAGUAACAGACAAUGUCUUAAUACAUAAUAAUAUAACAGUCGUUUAGAAUAAAAUAAGAAAAAUACAAUAUCUUACAGGAUAAGAAUAUGACUCGUUUUCAAUGAAAGUAGGACUUAAUUUUGAAUGUCCAAUACUUAUAUAAAAUCUUACAAAUCUCAAAGGCAUAGACAAGUGUCUUAACAAAUCUCAGUAACAGACAAUAUCUUAAAGCAUAAUAAUAUAAUAGUCGUUU